rnacentral:lncRNA from 1 species
CGCCCUAGUUGCUGAACCAGGGAUGAUCAUGUGAUUCGCGGGGGCGGGGCUGCGCUUGCAGCUUCCCGGCCAGGCUGAAAGGACUCGGGUAGCCGGCCUUGUCGGCCCUAAAAGCGCCCGCUGGAUGGCCUGGCCCCAACUACUGUCGCCGAUCCGCGCAAAGGGAGCUGCUUCUGGCUGUCGUUGGCCUCAUAGGUUUGCUUUCCUUCUUUUCCCGAAAGUGGGCUCUUAGGUUCACUGCCCGCAGCUUGCGGCCGCCGGGAAGCCCAAAUCCGAGUGUCCGGAGAGUAACCGGAAGUGCCGUUCCAGGCGGAGGGGCGGUGCCGGCUGCUGCCGGGGAGAGGGAAGACUUGAGUGUUGGGCUUAGUUAUGGACUAGAGACCUUUUGGAGCCAAAAGGAAGACAGUCUUGAGUCUCUGUUGUUACAGGUUGGUAAUAACAAGGAAAGAAUUAGUGUAUAUGAUGCUGGAAGCCUGUAGAGAGGAACUGCUCAUGACUGAAAGGCCUAAAACAGAUGUAUCUUUCAAGUGCUUAUCAAGAAAAUGACUACGGAGAACAUGAUGGGUCAAGAAGACCGGUGGAAAACUCC